UCUUACGUCAUUUCAAGACAUCAACAAUCAGGCCUCCCAGUCUACCAAACAGCAGCUUAAGGAUGCAGAAUUUAGUAUGGUUAUAUUACUUCUUUUCAUUUUAACUUUUGAUACAUUCAUUUAUUAAAUACAAAUUGUUUUGCCAAUAGAUAUACUCGCAAUUGUUGUCCGCUGCUUCCCGCCAAGGUUUGUUGUAAAAGUGCAGAAAAGAUUGCAAGAACUCAUUCUCAUCGAUACUGACAAACAAGCUUUCACCUUCACACUAUGGGAAGAAACUAUUAUUGAGGACGAAGGCAGGAAACUCCUUAGCCAAUUCCAAAAACGUCCUAUUAUAUUUGCUAGGCGUAUUGGGGUAUCCAAGUACAAUGGUACAUCGUUGACAACGAGAUUUAACACCACAAUACAAAUUGAUCCCCCUUAUUCCCAAUGCCUACAAUUGCACACAUGGUACCGCAUUACUCCAGCCUAUAUUGUGCUUGAUUCUUCCUAAUUAUUAUUAUCCUAAAGUUUUUUAAUUUUUUCCUUGAAUAGGGUCGC